rnacentral:ncRNA from 1 species
AACCGGCUGUGAAGUAACGCAGCCUCUCGAGGAGACUCAAGAGUGAAAACGAGGUGAAAUUCUGGAAGCCCCGCAGCCGCGGGGUAAUCAGAAGCCAAGUCCAGCUCAGCUGGAAAGGUUCAGAGACUAGGGAGGAAUCCCGUACUCUCCGCGUUGAGCGUUGGGGAAGCGCCUCGGUCGCCUUCGGCGACAUGAUAUAGUCCACGCCCUUUGGUAACAAGGGG